ACCAUUCACUUUUCCUGCAGUUCCUUCACUUUUUCCCCUGACUUGGGCUAUUUCCUCUGUGUCCUUACUGUGGAAUAACUUUAGAGUAUCAUAGCUUCAUAGCACAUGAUACAUUAAUGAUCCAAGAUAAACCAAACCCCUAAAGCACAAUUUAUAUAGCUUUCUUCACCCUCCCCUGAAAACAAAAGGAAUCACUGCAAGUUAUCAGGUAAAAUGAUAUACACAAUCAGGGAAUAGAAAUAAACUCUAACAUGAUGGAUGAUUCCUGGUCUACAUCCUGUCGAAUUUACAAGCUCCUAUUUUAGAGUUUUGCAGCACAGACACUGUAGAUUGCAAUUGGUGCUCAGCUGCAAAACCCAUCACCAGCCUCACAGCAGCAGGGCUCAGAUAGCAAGGUUCCUCAUUCACCAUCGUCAGAAAUGUCCAGGAAUAGUUCUGCUUAGAAAAGACAGUGUUGACAAUUGAACAGGGUCAAAAAGUGAUAACCCAUUAGGAAGAUGCUUGGGAAAUUCACAUAAUUUAAUUUAUAAAUGGAAGUAGAAUUUUCCAAAAGUUUUUUUUUUUUAAUUAAAACACAAAAGUUAGUUGGGACAAUUUAUGGGUAAAAGGUCAUUCCUACAUUAUUGUGGUCCACACAUUUUAUUUUUACAGGUUGUGGGGAAAGAACACGAGACCAAAGAAUAUAGAGAUUAAGAAACCUGCCAAAGAGAUACGGAUUUCACUGAUCUUGCCACUUAUGAGCUAUGUAUGGUAGUACCAAUCAAUCACACAGGGUGAUGGGAAAAGCUAAUGAGAGAAUGCAUUUCACAGGACACUCAGCCAAGGGCCAGGCGCACAGUAACCAGUAAAAAAAUGAUACUCAGUAUUGCCCACUAAUUAUGGGUGCGGGGAGAGGAAGAAAGACAGGUAGAUAUGCAGGUAGGUAUGGUAAUUUCAGGAUAUGAUUGACAUCUCUGGUCUUCAUAGGUGCAGCUCCCAGCUCACUAUACUUGAGGCCACUGCAGUGCCACUUCACAUGGUGCAGGAGUGAACAUUGACCUUGCAGGUCUGAAAACAUCUGCCUUUAGUUAUUUCUCAUUUUGGAGAAAGAAGAUUUUGAAACUGAAGAUUUAAGUAAUUUGCCAGAGUCAGAAUGCUGUAGGCAUCAGAACUCGAUUUUCGAACUUAAGUUUAUCUGACUCAAAAGCUUUUGCCUUUCACCACCACCCUAUUGCUUCUAAAAUGUCAAACAUCGGCUGAACCACAGGACAGGUAUCCUAUAAGUGAGGAGGAUGUGGAUGCACCCCCAUGUGUACGUAAGGACACACGAGCUAAAGGCUUUACCUGACCCAGUAAAAGUGUCAAGCGCUCCAUCUCCAGUCGUGGUUGUGGUUUCACUGCUGUUCAAGGGCUCUGUUUUGACUGCAAGAAGAGACACUACGUAGAAGAAUAAGUACAUGACAGCAAACCAAAAUCAUUACAUGCAAUAAAAUGGAAGCAAAAUCCUUUUAUAGAAGACAAGCACCGUAUUUCUCAACCAAAUGCAAGCUUACACACCAAAUGUUUUGAUUUCAAAAGAAACAAUAUUUUAAUGUCCUAGGUUGAAGAGUUUUGUGGGAUUAUUAUUCUAUAUCUUCAAAGUAAGUGAGUCAGAGCUCAUUUUGCUAAAAGUGGCAUAAAAUUACUUUCUAUAGCACUUUGUCGAGAACCGUUAAGAAAUCCUUGUACUGUCAGGCCCCCCUCCCCACUAGUUAGCUACUUGCAAUUUGGAUGUUUUUGAUAGAGUCAAAUGGUAAAAAUAAAUAAACAUACAUGAUUGGCUUUUCCAUUUUUUUAGCUUUAAAAAUAAUUCUUAUCUAUAGACUAAAUCAAGGUCAUACAUAAUUAUUGUCAGGUACCAGUAAUGGCUACUAAAUCACAGAUUUCCUGUCUUCACAUCCCAACCUUCAUCCCUACUGCCAUACACUUAUUUUUAAAGCAAUCUUACUCUU